CAUCGUGGCAGUGUGGUAGCGGAAUGGGUGUACGAAAAGAAUUACCAUUCCGUCAUCGUGCUGGUGCAGUGACCCGCGCAAUGACGACGCUGCGAUGAAGAUACCCCAUAUCCUUUCUCUUGAGGCAAGUCAGGGAGGGUGCAGGCAUCUAUCGACCAAGUCCUUUGUAUGUAUUCAAUAAAGAUGUUUCAGUGAAAGAGCACACAGAGUCUCGUCAAAGUUAUUCGGACUGUUUAAUGCGUUGCAUGUCAAUAACCAAGCGGUAUUUCAAUAAAUCAGUGACAAAGUUGGCGAUGUAGACUGCUUGCAAAUGUCGCUGCUUCCGUAGAGCGUGCUUAAUAUGAGCGAUGGCACGAGCGAGAAGGUCCACGAUGUCUGCAGCGAUGUAGUUGAAUUCUGCGUUGGACAAGCUCACAAAUUCGCUCAUUAGUCCCAGGGGUCCGUCCGGAACCGUUAUGCAGACGUUCUUGUAACGGGCGUAAAUUCGACGCACCAUCUCCUGCAGCGGCCCCGGCGAGAUCUCUCCUAUAUUGCCAAAGCCUACCAUGUCUAUCACGUAGCGAAAAGCAGUGAUGACGAGCUCGUUGCGGGGACUUUCGCCGUUGAAACAUUCCUUCUCCACUUCUUCCCAAGAAGCGUGGGUGCGGGAACAAUUUUGUAAAGAGUGGUAGCUGAACAUCUUCACGUAGUGAUGACGCGAGCGCGGUGCGCGCUGCCUUUAUACAGAUAAACGCGCGCGCAAAGAAACGAGAGUAAAACCGGAACUCAGAAGCCACCCGUCGCCGCUAGGAGCGCGCGCGCAGCGGAGAGCCGAAACCGAAAACACCCGCGGCCGGCGCAGGGGGCGCUAGGAGCGCGCGCGCGCGCAUGCGCGAACGGGUGGAGCAGAGGGCGCGCGCGCGUCGCCUCUCUCAGUUUCUCUCGGACCGUCGCGGAAGACGGACGUGCGCUCCGCGCGCUCGCUCAGUUGCUGGCUGGAUCUCGUAGGGAGCAGACGUAUGUUCUCCGCGCUCGCUCAGUUUCUGCCUGGAAGUUGCCGCGGGGGAAAAGAGCUAUGAUGGUGGCGCCAUCUGGUGUGAUGCCUUGCAACUAAGUGGCCACCUGUCGUCGAUCUCUGCAACUACCCGACGUCAACAAGCACUGGUCACCCCGGAGCCGUUUCUUCGCCGCGGCAUCGUUGAUUUUCGAAUAAAUUGUUUCUCUCCACUCUA